UCCCUAUAUUUUCUGUAGCAGACAAGCAAAAUUCUCAUAGCUUAUGCUUAAGUGAAUAAGUGAUUUUAGUUUUAGAAAAUUGAUGAUGCUGCUGGCAUUUUCUCAGCCAAUUCUAACUAUGAACUUGGGAGAGGUUAUAAGAUUGGUGGUUGGAAACCAAGACCAAUACCUAGCCUUGAGAAUAUUAAAAUAAUUUAAAUAGAAAGUGGUGGAUAUCACUCCCUUCCAUUAAUCGCUAUGUUGAUGUGACAUUAUUAGUAUUGUUUCAUUUCUAUUCUCACGGAUUAUUUCAUUAUAACUACUUUAUUCUUGAUUUACAUUAGAUGAUGCCAAAGUGCUCUCAUGGGGCCAUGGUGGAUAAGGUUAGUUGGGCCAUGGAUCUAUCCAAAAUCAGAAGAUACCAAUAGUAGUUGAGGCUUUAUCUCAUGAGCAUAUUAUAUAUAUUUCUUGUGGGGGCUUUUCAUCAGCAGUCGUGCAAGAAAUACAUUUCAUCUCACUCAGCAUGUUCUACUAGCCACAGAACUUUUCACUUUUAGUAUAUAACUAAAUUUUAUCCUUCACCAUGCAUCCUUAAAUUAUGAGUAGUGUCAUUGAACAUAGAUUUAUUUGCAUUUUAUUUGCAUUUUUGACCGUUUUCGGUAAUCAUCUAGAUUUUGCUCAUUUUUAUAGCUAGACACUGUUGUGAUGAACGUAAGGCAUAGGAAAGGAGCAUGGUGGUAAUCUCAAUUAAGCAGUCAGUGCACAUUUUAGUGAAGGAGACAGAAAUCUAACAACCGAGUAUACUUUCUUUUCCAUUAAUUAGUAAGCAAGCGAUCAUUGGAAAUUUUCCACGCAUACUAUGGGAAUUUUCCAUAAUAUUGUGGGUCAUUUUUGUUUAAGAAGAUGAAUUCAGAAUCAAAUAUUGUUAAUAGAAAUGCAUUAAAAAUUUUGUUUAA